GCAUAAGUUGGGCAAUUCAUCACAUAAUAAUAUGCCAUAAGUCUGGCAUAAGUUGGGCAAUUCAUCACAUAAUAAUAUGCAAUAAGUCCGGAAUGUAACACUUAAUAUCUUGCCUUUAAGUCUGGCAAUUACAUCACUAAAUCAGCCAUAGUCUGGCCAUAAGUCUUACAUUACAUGACAUAUAGCAGCACACAUACUUCAAGUCUGGCAAUAUAAUGCCUCAGAACCUAACAUGAAGUCUGUCAACUCACACAAAAGUCUAGCAUUAAGUCUUGCAAAACAUCC
rnacentral:lncRNA from 1 species